rnacentral:tRNA from 1 species
GCCACCUUGGCGUAGUGGUAGCGCGUCGCUCUUGUAAAGCGAAGGUCAUUCGUUCGAUCCGGGUAGGUGGCA